UGGGGAAUCUUGCACAAUGGGCGAAAGCCUGACGCAGCGACGCCGCGUGGGGGAUGAAGGCCCUCGGGUUGUAAACCCCUUUCGUCAGGGAAGAAGCCGCAAGGUGACGGUACCUGCAGAAGAAGCCCCGGCCAACUACGUGCCAGCAGCCCCGGUAAGACGUAGGGGGCGAGCGUUGUCCGGAUUUACUGGGCGUAAAGCGCGCGUAGGCGGCUCGUUAAGUCGGGUGUGAAACCCCGGGGCUCAACCCCGGGACUGCAUCCGAUACUGGCGGGCUCGAGGCAGGUAGGGGAGAGUGGAAUUCCCGGUGUAGGGGUGAAAUGCGCAGAUAUCGGGAGGAACACCGGUGGCGAAGGCGGCUUUCUGGGCCUGUCCUGACGCUCAGGCGAGAAAGCUAGGGGAGCAAACAGG
rnacentral:rRNA from 1 species